GACGCAAUGGGACGCAAUGGGGCACUAUGGGACACAGUGGGACACAAUGGGACACAAUGGGGCACAAUGGGGCACAAUGGGGGCGCAAUGGGGCACAAUGGGGGCACAAUGGGGCGCAAUGGGACACAGUGGGACACAGUGGGACACAAUAGGACACACAAUGGGACACAAUGGGGACAAAGGGACACAAUGGGACACAAUGGAGCACAAUGGGACACAAUGGGACACAAUGGGGCACAAUGGGGCGCAAUGGGACACUAUAGGACACAAUGGGGCACACAAUGGGACACAAUGGGGACAAAGGGACGCAGUGGGGCACAGUGGGACACAAUGGUGACACAGUGGGACACAAUGGGGCACUAUGGGGCACAAUGGGACACAAUGGGACACAAUAGGGCACAAUGGGGCGCAAUGGGGCACAAUGGGACACAAUGGGACACAAUGGGACACAGUGGGGCGCAAUGGGACACAAUGGGACACUAUAGGACACAAUAGGGCACACAAUGGGACACAAUGGGGAC
rnacentral:lncRNA from 1 species